GACAGAGGGUGCAAACGUUGUUCGGAAUUACUGGGCGUAAAGCGCGUGUAGGCGGCUCUGCAAGUCGGGUGUGAAAUCCCACGGCUCAACCAUGGAAGUGCACUCGAAACUGCAGGGCUAGAGUCCUGGAGAGGAAGGUGGAAUGCUUGGUGUAGAGGUGAAAUUCGUAGAUAUCAAGCGGAACACCGGUGGCGAAGGCGGCCUUCUGGACAGUGACUGACGCUGAGGUGCGAAAGCGUGGGGAGCAAACAGG
rnacentral:rRNA from 1 species